rnacentral:tRNA from 6 species
GCGCCCUUAGCUCAGCGGAUUAGAGCGACUGGCUUCGGACCAGUAGGUCGGGGGUUCGAAUCCCUCAGGGCGCACCA